GACUCAGCGGUCUAAUGGUAGGGUGUUAUCCGCUGAACCAGAGGGUCCUGGGUUCGAUCCCUGACUGGGUCG
rnacentral:tRNA from 1 species